rnacentral:lncRNA from 1 species
ACUGUAUUUCAUUUCAAGUCCGUAUAUUACAGCAAUUAUAUGAAAUAAAGUUCUUAGUGAGUACAUCUCUUGCAGUAAUUAAGUUGGUUGGUUUUGCUUAAAGCUUUGCUAUUUUAAGACUGACAUGGUCAUAGAGCAGGUAACUGUACCCUGGAAAUAAGUAUGAUUCCAGAAAGGACCUUGAGAUUUGUAACAAUUUGCUUUUCCUUUUUUUUUUUUUUUUAAACAAACGAACCCGAAUAUUUCUAUAACUUAAAAUUUAGUUUCAGGAUCUGGGCAUGAUAGCAUAUACCUAUAAUCCCAGCACUUGGUAUUUAGAAGCAAAGACAUCAAGAGUUCAAGGCUACUCUCAGCUCCAGAGUGAGUUGCAGACUAGAAAUAAAGGAUGUUGUGUGGUGUGGAUUGGAGCAGCUAACUUAUUCAUAAGGAUAAUGUGGCAACUUGACUUUUUCGCUCAGGACCAGUGCCUGUUCCACUCACCUUUCUUUACUUCUUCCUUUUUAUUCGAGAGAAAACACUUUGUCCUAGUACAGUGAGCUCACUUUGUUGCUUUAAUCAACAUUUUCUGUUGAAGUCAUUUGAUUUCAGAGGUAGACCUUAUGCUAAAUUCAGUUUUAAUCUUCAGUUGACUCUCCAAUAUUCCCCACCCCCACCCUGAGAUCAUUUGAUACCUUUCUAAGAAAAGUUACUGGUUUGGGCUAUAGGAAAGCUGUUUCCAGGAAUUGCUGGAAGCAGAGCCCCUGUCUCAUACCAUCAUCCUUCUAAGACUUAACACAUUCUCUAGUAGGGUUUUCUUCUUAGAGACUCGACAUCUGCCCUCUUGCCCACUUAAGUACCAGAUAAGCACCUUUGCAUUGGUGGAAAUUACAAAUUGGUGGUAAUUACAAAUACCCAGCUCUACUGUGUGAUGCAAAACCAAAGCUGUCUGGUUGAAACAAAAAUUGUAUGAGUGUGCUGUCCGAAUCCUGAGCCUAGAAUCUCAGCUUAACCACCAACCUCCUCUUUUUCUUUUUGCUUUUUUUUAAAGAUUUAUUUAUUGUAUGUACAUAAGUACACUGUAGCUCUCUUCAGACACACCAGAAGAGGGCAUCAGAUCCAUUACAGGUGGUUGUGAGCCACCAUGUAGUUGCUGGGAAUUGAACUCAGGACCUCUGGAAGAGCAGACAGUGCUCUUAACCACUGAGCCAUCUCUCCAGCCCAAACCGACCUCCUCUCAAGUAAGGGUCUAGAUACCCUGUAUCAGCAUUAACAGUCAAGCAUUUUCAAGUGUGAAAUUCUUUAAAUUUCUAGAAACAAAGUUUCUACAAAGUACAUUAUAAGGCUAGAAAGAUGGCUCAGCAAGUAAAGUGUAUAUAUUGCACUUGGCUUGGGAUCCAAGUUCUAUGCCCAGCGCCCAUGUUAAGUGGUUCAGAACUGCCUAGAACUUCAGCUGCAUGGAGAUCUGAUGCCUAUGACCUAUAUGACAUGCAUAAAGACACAUAUAAAAACAUGAAUGAAAAUGAAAAUAAAAUUUAGAAGUAAAGACAUCUUAGAGGCAAGCAUGGUGAUAUAUAACUGUAAUCCCAGAACUUAAGAGGCUAAACCAAGUGUACUGCCAUUGUUUUGGCAGCCAGCCUAAGAUACCCUGAGUGCCAAGCCAGCAAGGUGAUAGACCGAUAUACCAUGGCUUUGACUAGUAAAUAGUCUUUGGAACCAAUCCUACUAGUAUAGCCAGUCUCAGCUAUAAAAUGUUCACAGGUUUAAGGCCAGCCUGAGCAAAUUGAUAAGAUCUCAAUACCACCAAAAAGAGAAGUCUACAGUGAAAACUGAAUCCCUUUUGUCCUUUCAUAUAUUAAAUCUGACUUAGACCUCAAUCACAGCAAGAAACUACACUUACUGAUUAGACAGAGUAAACUUUGUCAGAACUUUGGUCUCCAACCCCUUGGUCACCCUGUCCUUGACGACCUUAAGGUGGAAAUCACUGAAAUGGGUAUAUUUUUACUUAAUCCUAAAUCAGCCAGAUAUGGUGACAAAUACUUGUUCUCCCAGCAGUCAUGAAGCUAAGGUAAGAGCAUUGUGAGCUCCAGGCCCACCUAGCUGCAAAAUCAGACCUUUAUCAAAAACCUU